rnacentral:lncRNA from 1 species
AAAAGAUCGAUUUCCCGCCAUGCAUGGCAGACUUGUACAGAAACGAUAUGUUGUCGAAAUUCUGUUCGUAUCUUUUAGACAUCGUAUGGCCAUCGCGCCAUCAUCGUAAUCCAUCGUGUAGCCUUCGUAAUCCAUCGUGUAGCCUUCGUGAUCCAUCGUGUAGGCUUCGGCUGAGAUAUGAAGCUUAAAUACCCGUCUUCGGUUAACCUUCGUAUGUCCAUCUUUUGCUAUCGUAUAUAAUUUCGGCACCAUCGUAUAGACGUCGUUAUUCAUCGUACUUGCUUCGGUCACUUUUUGGUAUUUUAACGAGAUCGGGACCAACUUCGUACGAACUUACAAUUUUUGCAUUCGGG